UAAAACUAGCCAAAAAAGUUCCACUGCUCGCACGAGCGAGUGAGCAGCGAUGCACCUAGAGAGCCCUCGAGCGAGAACCCCACUGUCGUCUCCCUUAGAUGCAGCCGCCCACCGAAUCAAAUCGCACUACCAGCCUCGUCUGCCUUGCCGUGCCUGCGUCCCUCCCCGGACGGCAGCGACGAUGGAGGAAGCCACUGGCGCUGGCCAGGCCCCCGGUCGAUGGACGCGGCGGAUCGUCGCUCCUCAGGGCCAGCCCCUCCCAUUGCGCUGGAUCACGUGGCAGCCUAGGUUGACGAUAGGAGAUGAAGUACGUUUGAACAAACAUGUUCUUUCACUUUUCCCAACGAGGUGGAGCUUGCACAUAUGGACAUAUGGUACACUUGCACGGGUUGCAAGGGUAGGAUGAAGUUGCUGAGGAUGCACGUGUACCCGAGGAACAAGUACCACCCGCCGCUGCAGAUGACGAGGUUGGGAAAGGGCGCCAACUGCGAGAACGUCUUCAGUACCAUGGUCUAUCUCUCACCCAAAGGUUCCACUCAAUCGAUGCAUUAACUGAUGUACUCCAGUUCCAUUACCCGAGGAACUAAUAUGGCAUAUUUUGUUUUCUGCAACAUGGUGGGUUGGGAACUCGGGAUGAAGGAAGAAUACUCCUGAGAGCCCAAACUCGAGCUUCCAAAAGAUAUGCGUAAUUAUGCUGAAGGUUGAUACUGAGGCUGUCACUAUGAAGAAUAUUUGCCUCUCAGUUUAAAUUCCUCGGUAAAGAUUCGGAGGUAGGACCACAUGAACAAGCAGGUUGUUGUCCAAGCAUAGUUGCUACUGCAAGAGCCAGCAUCAGACAACAUCCGAUCUAUACAAAAUCCAUCCAUCUGUCUCGUCUCAUGCAUGCAUAACCAGGACGAUGGUAACUUGUCUACUAUUCUACUCACUGCAGUUUACGAUAAUUUGUCUACUACUCUACUUAAGCUUGAGGGUGAAGUGGACGAUAAGUUGUAUUAUUGACCAAGUAUAUCUUGUUCAUAAGCCUAAGAUUUGCAUACACCAUAGAAGCCGUAUAUAUCUUUGAGAUGAUCAGUCCAUGGCUGAUAUUGCUAGAGCAGGAGGGCGAGGCAGUGGCAAAGGUAGUCAGUGUGUUUAGAUCUUGAACCAGUUUGGGCUUGCCCAUCUGAGUGCCGGCGAUCUUCUUUGCAAAAAAGUUAAAUCCGAGCAAGGGUAACAAUCUGCUCUCAGUGUAUUUCAACCCUCAUUUAAGCAUAUCACAUUCCACUUUCAUUUUAUUUAUUUACUUUUAAGAGCUCUGCUUUAGGGUUCGGUGUCGUAUUUGUAUCAUCUUUAUAUAACCUUUUUUGUUUAGAAACAAAAGUUGCGUGUGCAAUGUUGAAGCUUGUUA